GACGUAGGGCGCGAGCGUUGUCCGGAAUUAUUGGGCGUAAAGAGCUCGUAGGCGGCUUGUUGCGUCGGCUGUGAAAACCCGGGGCUCAACCCCGGGCCUGCAUUCGAUACGGGCAGGCUAGAGUUCGGCAGGGGAGACUGGAAUUCCUGGUGUAGCGGUGAAAUGCGCAGAUAUCAGGAGGAACACCGGUGGCGAAGGCGGGUCUCUGGGCCGAUACUGACGCUGAGGAGCGAAAGCGUGGGGAGCGAACAGG
rnacentral:rRNA from 1 species